CAAACUGAAGAUGGCGACCGGCGCACGGGUGAGUAACACGUAUCCAACCUACCGGUUAUUCCGGGAUAGCCUUUCGAAAGAAAGAUUAAUACCGGAUAGUAUAACGAGAAGGCAUCUUCUUGUUAUUAAAGAAUUUCGAUAACCGAUGGGGAUGCGUUCCAUUAGCUUGUUGGCGGGGUAACGGCCCACCAAGACAUCGAUGGAUAGGGGUUCUGAGAGGAAGGUCCCCCACAUUGGAACUGAGACACGGUCCAA
rnacentral:rRNA from 1 species